UAUAACAUAACUAAAAACUAACCGACAUUUCAUGUUUUUUCUUUUAUCCCUCUCCUCCCCCUCCUUUUCAAAACCCUAACCCCUCUUCUUCCCACUAUUUUCUUCCGAAAACCCUAACCCUAGUCCUAACCACCAUGUAUCUCUACAGUCUCACUCUGCAACAAUCCACCGGCAUACUCUGCGCAAUCAAUGGCAACUUCUCGGGAACCAAAACCCCCGAAAUCGUCGUCGCGCGUGGCAAAAUCCUCGAGCUUCUCCGCCCCGAAAGUUCAGGAAAAAUCGAAAGUGUUCUCUCCACUGACAUUUUCGGUGCCAUUCGCUCCCUCGCUCAGUUCCGUCUCACCGGCUCUCAGAAGGACUACAUCGUUGUCGGGUCAGAUUCGGGUCGGAUCGUUAUUCUUGAGUACAAUCCUUCACGAAAUGUCUUCGAUAAAGUCCACCAAGAAACUUUCGGUAAAUCAGGUUGUCGCCGGAUCGUUCCGGGUCAGUAUUUGGCUGUUGACCCAAAAGGUCGUGCCGUUAUGAUUGGUGCUUGUGAGAAGCAGAAAUUAGUUUAUGUUUUGAAUAGAGAUACUGCUGCUAGAUUAACUAUUUCAUCUCCAUUAGAAGCUCAUAAAUCUCACACUAUUGUUUAUUCUAUAUGUGGUGUUGAUUGUGGAUUCGAUAAUCCAAUUUUCGCAGCAAUUGAGUUGGAUUACUCUGAGGCUGACCAGGAUUCAACUGGUCAAGCUGCGAGCGAGGCGCAAAAGCAAUUGACAUUUUAUGAAUUAGAUUUAGGGCUUAAUCAUGUGUCACGAAAAUGGUCUGAACCGGUUGAUAAUGGGGCGAAUAUGUUAGUUACAGUGCCUGGAGGAGGGGAUGGGCCAAGUGGGGUUUUAGUUUGUGCUGAGAAUUUUGUGAUUUAUAAGAAUCAGGGUCAUCCAGAUGUUAGGGCUGUUAUUCCUAGACGUCUUGAUUUGCCAGCCGAACGUGGAGUUUUGAUAGUUUCAGCUGCCACACAUAGGCAGAAAUCGUUGUUUUUCUUUUUGUUGCAGACAGAGUAUGGGGACAUAUUUAAGGUUACUUUAGAACAUGACAAUGAGCAUGUUAGUGAGUUGAAGAUAAAGUAUUUUGAUACUAUUCCUGUGUCUGCGUCGAUGUGUGUGCUGAAAUCGGGGUAUUUGUUUGCUGCUUCAGAGUUUGGCAACCAUGCUUUGUAUCAGUUUCAGGCAAUUGGGGCUGACCCUGAUGUGGAAGCCUCCUCGGCUACGUUGAUGGAGACUGAAGAAGGAUUUCAACCUGUGUUUUUCCAGCCUAGAGGGCUCAAGAAUCUUGUUAGGAUUGAGCAAGUUGAGAGUUUGAUGCCAAUUAUGGAUAUGAAGAUUUCAAAUUUGUUCGAGGAGGAAGCACCUCAGAUUUUUACUUUAUGUGGGCGUGGUCCUCGUUCAUCACUUAGGAUACUGAGGCCUGGUCUGGCUGUUAGUGAGAUGGCUGUGUCUCAGCUUCCUGGUGUCCCGAGUGCUGUUUGGACUGUGAAAAAGAAUCUAAAUGAUGAAUUUGAUGCAUAUAUCGUUGUUUCUUUUAACAAUGCAACUCUUGUGCUUUCAAUUGGUGAAACUGUUGAAGAAGUUAGUGAUAGUGGGUUCCUUGAUACAACCCCUUCACUUGCUGUUUCUUUGAUUGGUGAUGAUUCUCUAAUGCAAGUUCAUCCCAGUGGCAUUAGGCAUAUUAGGGAAGAUGGGCGUAUUAAUGAGUGGAGAACACCUGGAAAGAGGACGAUUGUUAAGGUUGGCUCCAAUAGACUUCAAGUGGUUAUUGCACUAAGUGGAGGGGAGCUAAUUUAUUUUGAGGUGGAUAUGACUGGACAACUGAUGGAAGUGGAGAAGCAUGAAAUGUCUGGAGAUGUGGCUUGUUUGGACAUUGCUCCAGUUCCAGAAGGAAGGCAGAGGUCCCGAUUUCUUGCAGUUGGUUCAUAUGACAACACAGUCCGUAUCUUAUCGUUGGAUCCUGAUGACUGCAUGCAGAUUCUUAGUGUCCAAAGUGUAUCAUCGCCUCCCGAAUCUCUCCUUUUUCUUGAAGUUCAGGCAUCAGUUGGUGGGGAGGAUGGUGCUGAUCACCCUGCUAGUCUUUUCCUCAAUGCAGGUUUGCAGAACGGGGUUCUUUUUAGAACAGUGGUUGAUAUGGUGACUGGUCAGCUUUCAGAUUCCCGUUCCAGGUUCUUGGGGCUGAGACCGCCAAAGCUCUUUUCUGUUGUUGUGGGAGGCCGUGCUGCAAUGCUUUGUUUGUCUAGUCGACCCUGGCUUGGCUAUAUUCACCGAGGAUGUUUCCUUUUAACACCUCUUUCCUAUGAGACUCUUGAAUAUGCUGCUUCGUUUUCAUCUGAUCAGUGUGUGGAAGGUGUCGUUUCUGUUGCAGGGAAUGCAUUGAGGGUUUUUACUAUUGAGAAACUUGGAGAAACGUUUAAUGAAACUGCCAUUCCCUUAAGGUAUACCCCCAGAAAGUUUGUUCUUCAACCUAAGAGGAGAUUGCUAGUAAUUAUUGAGAGUGAUCAAGGAGCAUUCACUGCAGAAGAGCGUGAAGCUGCAAAGAAGGAAUGCUUUGAGGCCGCUGGAAUGGGGGAAAAUGGAAAUGGUAAUGUGGACCAGAUGGAAAAUGGUGAUGAUGAGAAUAAAGAUGAUCCCCUCUCUGAUGAGCAGUAUGGUUAUCCUAAGGCAGAGUCGGACAAAUGGGUUUCUUGCAUCAGAGUUCUUGACCCUCGUACAGGUAAUACAACUUGUCUGCUGGAGCUUCAGGACAGUGAAGCUGCAUUCAGUGUAUGCACUGUCAAUUUUCAUGAUAAGGAGUAUGGAACCCUUUUAGCUGUUGGUACAGCAAAAGGACUGCAGUUUUGGCCCAAAAGAAGUAUAGGUGCAGGAUACAUUCAUAUUUAUCGGUUCUUGGAAGAUGGGAAAAGCCUUGAACUUUUGCACAAGACACAAGUGGAAGGUGUUCCUCUUGCUUUAUGCCAGUUUCAGGGAAGAUUACUAGCUGGAAUAGGAAAUGUUCUCAGAUUGUAUGACUUGGGGAAGAAGAGGUUGCUUAGAAAAUGUGAAAAUAAGCUGUUCCCUAACUCUAUCGUUUCUAUUCAUACCUAUCGUGAUCGAAUCUAUGUAGGUGAUAUUCAAGAGUCAUUCCAUUUCUGCAAGUAUAGACGGGAUGAAAAUCAACUCUAUAUUUUUGCCGACGAUUGUGUUCCAAGAUGGGUUACAGCAUCACACCAUAUAGAUUUUGACACUGUGGCUGGUGCAGACAAGUUUGGGAAUGUCUAUUUUGUGCGACUGCCACAGGAUGUUUCAGAUGAGAUAGAAGAAGAUCCGACUGGUGGAAAGAUUAAAUGGGAACAGGGGAGACUCAAUGGAGCUCCCAACAAAGUAGAGGAGAUAGUACAGUUUCAUGUUGGUGAUGUGGUCACAUCCAUGCAGAAGGCAUCUCUGGUUCCAGGUGGUGGAGAGUGCAUCAUUUAUGGGACUGUUAUGGGGAGCUUAGGAGCAUUGCUUGCAUUCACUUCCCGGGAUGAUGUUGACUUCUUUUCUCACCUGGAGAUGCAUAUGAGGCAAGAACACCCACCAUUGUGUGGACGGGAUCACAUGGCUUUUAGAUCUGCAUAUUUCCCUGUGAAGGAUGUGAUUGAUGGAGAUCUAUGUGAACAGUUCCCUACGCUGCCACUGGAUUUGCAACGAAAAAUUGCUGAUGAAUUGGAUAGGACUCCUGGGGAGAUCCUUAAGAAACUUGAAGAAAUUAGAAACAGGAUCGUUUGAGAAAGGAGCUGUUUGCUCGGACCUCGUUGUUGUUACCUCAGUUAAUUUGUUGUAUAUAUAGACAGGAGUGUGGAGAUUUGCGGGAGUAGGAUAUUAGCUCUUAACGUUGGAUAAAUCUCAAUGUUUUCUGUUCAAAUUUGACGCCGCAUUCAAUCGAAUACGUGUUCUGUCGCAGCACUCACAUCUUAAAGUUGGUAUGAAAUUGUUAUAAGAACCACCAAAUAAGAAUCAUACUUGAAACUAAAAUCACUACGGUCGUUUCAGAAUAAAGGGCUAAUAAUAAUCUCUUCUACAUUCUUGAAUUUGCUAUGGAACAUCUUUUGUCUAACCAGCUGAUAAUGUCUUUGAAUACAAUGUCAAUGUUCCU